rnacentral:rRNA from 1 species
GACGAACGCUGGCGGCGGGCCUAACACAUGCAAGUCGAACGAGUGGCGGACGGGUGAGUAAUGUCUGGGAAACUGCCUGAUGGAAGGGGAUAACUACUGGAAACGGUAGCUAAUACCGCAUACCAUCAGAUGUGCCCAGAUGGGAUUAGCUAGUUGGGGGGGUAACGGCUCACCAAGGCGACGAUCCCUAGCUGGUCUGAGAGGAUGACCAGCCACACUGGAACGGAUACACGGUCCAGACUCCUACGGGAGGCAGCAGUGGGGAAUAUUGAACAAUGGGCGCAAUCCUGAUGCAGCCAUGCCGCGUGUAUGAAGAAGGCCUUCGGGUUGUAAAGUACUUUCAGCGGGGAGGCGUUACCCGCAGAAGAAGCACCGGCUAACUCCGUGCCAGCAGCCGCGGUAAUUC